UACGGAGGGUGCAAGCGUUGUUCGGAAUCACUGGGCGUAAAGCGCGUGUAGGCGGUCUCCUAAGUCUGGUGUGAAAGCCCGGGGCUCACCCCCGGAAGUGCACUGGAAACUGGGAGACUGGAGUACCGGAGAGGAGGGUGGAAUUCCUGGUGUAGCGGUGAAAUGCGUAGAUAUCAGGAGGAACACCGGUGGCGAAGGCGGCCCUCUGGACGGAUACUGACGCUGAGACGCGAAAGCGUGGGGAGCAAACAGG
rnacentral:rRNA from 1 species